UAGGGAAUCUUCCGCAAUGGGCGAAAGCCUGACGGAGCAACGCCGCGUGAGUGAUGAAGGUCUUCGGAUCGUAAAACUCUGUUAUUAGGGAAGAACAAAUGUGUAAGUAACUAUGCACGUCUUGACGGUACCUAAUCAGAAAGCCACGGCUAACUACGUGCCAGCAGCCGCGGUAAUACGUAGGUGGCAAGCGUUAUCCGGAAUUAUUGGGCGUAAAGCGCGCGUAGGCGGUUUUUUAAGUCUGAUGUGAAAGCCCACGGCUCAACCGUGGAGGGUCAUUGGAAACUGGAAAACUUGAGUGCAGAUGAGGAAAGUGGAAUUCCAUGUGUAGCGGUGAAAUGCGCAGAGAUAUGGAGGAACACCAGUGGCGAAGGCGACUUUCUGGUCUGUAACUGACGCUGAUGUGCGAAAGCGUGGGGAUCAAACAGG
rnacentral:rRNA from 1 species